CUGAUUCUAGCGGGUGCGCUCUCUUUGUGAGGAAACAAAGGCAAUUAAUCACACAGGCUGCCAAGUCUUGCCUUUGGCUGGCUGUGGAAUUGGCUCCCAGGACCUCACCGGGGGCUGGGAGCCCCAGUGAGUGACUCCAUGGCGUGCGUGUGCUUCAGGAGCGCUCCAGUAAUUGCCAGCCUCUGGGCGUCGUCUUGUUCCUACAGAACAGGUCCCCAAGUAUCUUGAAACUAGGCCUUUGUUCAUUUUAAACAGAGGCCCUCACUCCCGCCUCUCUCCGCUUGGCCCUCUGGUCUGAACCUUCCAUCUGAGUGACAAGGAACAGGGUGUGUGGGAACCACAGUUUGUAACCCUCUCCUUGGGACUAAGUCAGUGCCUCCCCCUGUGACGGAAGACAGGAGACACGUCCUGGGGAUUUGGGCCAUAUCGGAUGCAAGCAUAGCAUCCUCCUGGAUCCUACCCCCUUUCCAGGAUCUCAGGAUAGAGCUGGGGCAGGAGGAGGACCCCAUUUCUCAGAUGUGAUGUUCAGGAGCCUGCACAAUGUCAAAAUUGCUGCAAAAUGGAACCAGAAGUUCAAUGUUCUCCUUUUGCAGCCCUCUGAAACAAUAAACAGAAUGGGAGGAAAAGACAGGAACGGAGUGGAAAAAUCUUCAAAUGGUUGUGUCAGAACAAGAAGGGCAUUCUCUGCCAUGAAAAAUUUGUUGGUGGGUUUUAAAGAUGCUAUUUCUAAAAAUUUAUGGAUGAG
rnacentral:lncRNA from 1 species